rnacentral:tRNA from 1 species
GCCAGCUUAGCUCAGUUGGCAGAGCAGCUGAUUUGUAAUCAGCAGGUCCUCGGUUCGAACCCGAGAGCUGGCU